AUUCAUUAAGAUAAUAGGAUCAUGAUUUUUCAUUAACUCAUUUGAUUGAUAUUAUCUCCAUGCAUUUUUUAUUUCUUUUAGAAAUGUAAUUAUUUGCUCUAGCAAUCAUUGCUAACCUCUAGUUUGUAGAAAAUCAACACUUUAUAAAUACAUAAUUAUGAUAUUAUUUUUCAUUGUAUCACUGUUCUAAAAAUACCAUAUGAUUAUAGCUGCCACUCCAUCAGGAGCAAAUUCUUCUGUUAAAAGCUAACUGAUCAACCUUGACCACUUUUUUGACAUGUGAGAUCAAAGUGUCAAGUUGGCUGAGGUUUUUUGGAAAGCUUUAGAACUAAUAAGCUGCUGGUGGCAGCUUUGUAACGUAUGAUUAUCUAAGCUGAUUUUGAUGCUAAAUUAUCUUAGUGAUCUAAGGGGCAGUUUAGUGAAGAUGGAAUCUUGUAUUUAAAAUAGCCUUUUAAAAUUUGUUUUGUGGUGAUGUAUUUUGACAACUUCCAUCUUUAGGAGUUAUAUAAUCACCUUGAUUUUAGUUUCCUGAUGUUUGGACUAUUUAUAAUCAAGGACACCAAGCAAGCAUAAGCAUAUCUAUAUUUCUGACUGGUGUCUCUUUGAGAAGGAUGGGAAGUAGAAAAAAAAAAAAGAAAGAAAGGAAAGGAAGAGAGGAGAGAAGAAGGCAGGGAUCUCCACUAUGUAUGUUUUCACUUUAGAACUGUUGAGCCCAUGCUUAAUUUUAAUCUAGAAGUCUUUAAAUGGUGAGACAGUGACUGGAGCAUGCCAAUCAGAGAGCAUUUGUCUUCAGAAAAAAAAAAAAUCUGAGUUUGAGACUAGCCUGGCCAACAUGUUGAAACCCCAUAUCUACUAAAAAUACAAAAAUUAGCCUGGUGUGGUGGCGCACGCCUGUAGUCCCAGCUACUCUGGAGCCUGAGGAACGUGAAUCGCUUGAACCCAGAAGACAGAGGUUGCAGUGAGCUGAGAUGGCACUAUUGCACUCCAGCCUGGGUGACACAGCAAGACUCUGUCUCAAAAAAAAAAAAAAAAAAAAGGAAAAAAAAGAAAGAAAGAAAGUCCCAGCACACCUAGAUAAUUUACCGAGCUCUUCAGCAAAAACCAUGUUACAUACAGCAUAUUCCAAAGAAAUGAACUCUUCUGCAAUUUAAAUUAUAAGUAAUAUGUUAUUUUGGAUCCUAGAGAAACCAUUUUCUCUACAUUUCAUGAGCAUGGUUAGAAAAGAGUUUACAAGAAUUAGGAAGAGGGAACAAUUUUAAUGGUCAGAAAAGAAUAAAAUUUAUUCUAGUUCAAGAAGUGCACACAAAGAAUAUGCAUUAAUCUAACAACUAUGAGAUUAAAUCUUUCAAAAAGGUCAAAGGAGGAUUGAGAAGUUUACAGAGAUGUCCACGGCAUUUUAUAUCAAUCUCAAAGGUAAGGUCUGCAUUUUUAUAAACCAACUUAAACUUCUGUUGAGAUAGGAUAUUUUGUUUUCAAGCCAAAAUUACCAUUAAUCAAAUAUGUUUUAAUUAUCUGAUUUAGAUGAUCUACUUUUUAUGCCUGGCUUACUGUAAGUUUUUUAUUCUGAUACACAGUUCAAACAUCAUUGCAACAAAGAAGUGCCUGUAUUUAGAUCAAAGGCAAGACUUUCUAUGUGUUUGUUUUGCAUAAUAAUAUGAAUAUAAUUUAAGUCUAUCAAUAGUCAAAACAUAAACAAAAGCUAAUUAACUGGCACUGUUGUCACCUGAGACUAAGUGGAUGUUGUUGGCUGACAUACAGGCUCAGCCAGCAGAGAAAGAAUUCUGAAUUCCCCUUGCUGAACUGAACUAUUCUGUUACAUAUGGUUGACAAAUCUGUGUGUUAUUUCUUUUCUACCUACCAUAUUUAAAUUUAUGAGUAUCAACCGAGGACAUAGUCAAACCUUCGAUGAUGAACAUUCCUGAUUUUUUGCCUGAUUAUUCUCUGUUGAGCUCUACUUGUGGUCAUUCAAGAUUUUAUGAUGUUGAAAGGAAAAGUGAAUAUGACCUUUAAAAAUUGUAUUUUGGGUGAUGAUAGUCUCACCACUAUAAAACUGUCAAUUAUUGCCUAAUGUUAAAGAUAUCCAUCAUUGUGAUUAAUUAAACCUAUAAUGAGUAUUCUUAAUGGAGAAUUCUUAAUGGAUGGAUUAUCCCCUGAUCUUUUCUUUAAAAUUUCUCUGCACACACAGGACUUCUCAUUUUCCAAUAAAUGGGUGUACUCUGCCCCAAUUUCUAGGGAA
rnacentral:lncRNA from 10 species